rnacentral:rRNA from 1 species
GACGAACGCUGGCGGCGUGCUUAACACAUGCAAGUCGAACGGAAAGGCCAUGCUUUUGUGGGGUGCUCGAGUGGCGAACGGGUGAGUAACACGUGAGUAACCUGCCCUUGACUUUGGGAUAACUUCAGGAAACUGGGGCUAAUACCGGAUAGGAGCUCCUGAUGCAUGGUGGGGGUUGGAAAGUUUCGGCGGUUGGGGAUGGACUCGCGGCUUAUCAGCUUGUUGGUGGGGUAGUGGCUUACCAAGGCUUUGACGGGUAGCCGGCCUGAGAGGGUGACCGGCCACAUUGGGACUGAGAUACGGCCCAGACUCCUACGGGAGGCAGCAGUGGGGAAUAUUGCACAAUGGGCGGAAGCCUGAUGCAGCAACGCCGCGUGCGGGAUGACGGCCUUCGGGUUGUAAACCGCUUUCGCCUGUGACGAAGCGUGAGUGACGGUAAUGGGUAAAGAAGCACCGGCUAACUACGUG